ACCUGCAUCGAAAGUGAUUUUGCUCUGUCUGUGGGCUGGUCAUUGAUACUGCAGGGAGAGUAUUGUGAAAGAGUUUCCCGUGUUUGAAGACUUUAUUAUGUCUUAACAAACCCUGUAACUUUCACACA